GCUAGUUUGAGGUCGAUAGAGCGAUUGAAAUCAGCUGGCUGAACGUGGAACGCAUCCCGGAACGGCGAGCAAGUGCAGUUCUUGCCAGAAGCAGCUCCUGUGAGGAUCAGGGUGCAGAGCUGGGUCUUCAGCAUCCGACUUUUGUGAUGGGUUUAGGAUUUGAGGACCCCUCCAUCUCUCAGAAGGUAAGGUGGAGGCUCACCUUAGGUGAACCACAUUGGCUGUUUCGCUCUAACAAUAAACAGCUGCAGGUGAGAAUGAAUACUUCCUGGCAGUUUUGUUCUGCUUUGUUUGGGGGGGGGGGUUGUUGUUGUUGUUGUUGGUUUUGGUUUGUUUGCUUGUUUACAGACUCAAAAGAACCCCACAUAGAGCGAUGAGGGCGCGGACUAUCUCUUCCAGAGGUCGGUGUUCCAGGAAGGGAGCAGGGGGCGGGGCCGGGGUGGGAGGGGGCGGGGCCGGGGGGCCUGAACGUGUUGGAGGCGGGGGGGNCGCGGGUGGUGGGGGGCGGGAGACCGAGCUGGAGGCCGAGCAGGUCGCUGUGCCUCCUGACCUCUUCCUGCUGGACGCUUCUUCCCGCUAAGCCACCUCACGCCCCACCUCCCCCGGGGCCCCUAGAACCUGGCACACCAGAGGAGGCUAGGUCGACGGAGUGGAGCAUCAAUGAAGAAAAGAGGAGAGGGUAGGAGGAGGCUCCCGUGGCUGGAAUAGUCUGGAAUAUCCCUGCUCCUCACAUAGUCUCAGGUUGCCUCUUUGCGACCAGGCCUUGCUGGGAGAUCUUGCUUCCACAAAACAUCUGCCUUCUUUUGUUCUUAAGGCUGGUUUAUGUGCUCAGACUGCCUUUGGUGUUCAUUUAAAAGUAUAUUUCCCUUGCCUUCAACGUGGCCCCACUUGCAAUGGAAAGAGGAAGAACACAGUAAUUUGACCUCUAGGGAAGGCUCUGCCAGUGGGUCUCUCCUCCUGUCUUUUGAUGCAGAAAAAGGGUACAAGAUAAGUGGUCAAGGAUAAAAGCACAGUGAUUAGAGCACAUCCCUAUAUAGAAUUCUAUGUGGCCAUGAAAAACAUGAAGGAAGAUCUCUAUGUACUGAUGUGGAAGGAUGUACAUAGUAUAUAUAUUGAUGACUACAAAAUAAAUCAAGUUGCAAAAUGAGAUGUAUGUUGGUAAAUGUAUUGGAAACGUUCAGAGUAAACUGUUCUCAGAAGUUCUUUCUGGGAAGUGGGUUCGGAGGUGAUUUGUAUCAGUAGCAAUGCUUUCUGCCGCAAGUAAAGAAAAGCCCAACUCGGUGGCUCACACAAUAAGGAAACGUAUUAUCUUGUAAAACGAGAAGUCCGUGGGGAGAGGGACUCUGGGGUUCAUUAACUCAGCAGCUCAGGACAUCACUGGGGACCCAGUUCUUUCCAUCUUUCUGCUUUGCCAUCGUCAGUGAGUAGGCUUUGUUCUCAGCGCGCCUCUUGGGAGACGGGUGCAGUCAGUAGUUUCAGGAGAAACAUUCAGACUUCACAUCGGCAGCUGAGGAGGCCAGAGUCUCCUGCCAGAGGAGUCCCGGGUCACCCGGCCACAAGCCUGUCUUGGGAUCCCGGCCACGCUCCAGCACGGCUGGACGCAGCCGCUGGGAAACUUGGUUCCAAUGCCCAGGCGGUGCAGUGGCCGUCAUUCGGUUCGGGCUCCUGCGGCUGCCGAUCUGAGAGGACAUCCUCAGGACAGUCAAGCUUUCUGUCUUUUGAAGAACAAACGGGCAGCUGACGCCCCCUAUGUGUUACGUGUGUCACAUGUCCUUGUCCCUACCAAGACCACUAUAAUUGACUUAAAAAUAGACCAAUCAGGGGGCUUUAGCAUCCAACUUGGGCUCCGGUCUCGAUUUCACAGUCCGUGGGUUCGAGUCCGGUGCUGGGCUCUGUGCUGACAGCUCGGAGCCUGGAGCCUGCUUCGGAUUCUGUCUGUCUUCCUCUCUCUCUCUCUCUCUCUCUCUCUCUCUCUCUCUCUCCCCUGCUCAUAUUCUGUCUCUCUUUCUCAAAAUAAAUAAACAUUAAAAAAAAUUAAAAAUAGACAAAUCAGAACCACACCUCCAACUCAGCUAGCGCCCACCUCCCUGGAAUCAUUUGGUUCUUGGGGGGAGGAUAAGAAACUGGGAAAAAAUCCAGGUGCUCUUAGGAAGAAGGAAGUGGGGAAUAAAGUCAGGUAAGUAACCAACAGGGCUUCCUACGGUGAGAGGGGGACCUUUUAGUCUGUAUAUUUCUCUCGUAGUUUGGGUUUUUAUGAGCUUGUGUUACUUGUAUAAUAAUAGUUAUUUUACUUAGGGCAGUGAGAGAAUGAGCCUUGGCAUCAGAAAGAAAAAUAUUUGAUUCCGUCUCUCUGAUUUGUAAAGUGUAAUUUUGGGCAAGUAAUUUAACAUCUUCAAGUCUUCAUUAUUAAAAAGUUGAAAGUAGUUUUCAAGCUGGAAAAAAAAAAGGACAGAAAACAUUUAAGAGAAAUGGGUUUCUUUUAUGUCCUGGGAAACAAAUGAUUUCCUAUCUGUAAAGACUUAGAAACAUAUGUGUUAGAUUACACCACCUCAGGUUUGUUAUUUUAAUAUUUCAAAGAACUAGAAUAAUGCAGUCCUUCUAUAAGCACAUUAGAGAAAGUCACAAUGAUUUCUUUUUAACAAGUUGAGUAAAAUGUUCUUCUGUUUCCUCUCAACUAGUCUGUUGUCUGGAAUUGAUAAAAUAAUAUAUUUCCCAAGAAGUUAUGAGGUUUGGUUAUGAGGUUGUGUGGCUAUUUUCAAAAUGAUGAGUUCAGUUCUAUUUAUUCCUACACUUAUAUCUAAUCUUGGUUCUUAAUCAUUUAAAAUUGAAUCGAAGUCCACGAUCCCAAUAACACUUUGAGUUGCCUGCUAAGAAAACUAGAAAGUUGGUGAGCCAUCGUUAAGUAGUAGAUUAAGGUUUGGGUAUUUUCUAAGAGAUAUUGGAAGUUGCAGAGAAGAAUUGGGUCUUAGAGUCUAAGAUGUGAUGUCAAGAAUUAGGUCUACCCCCAAAUUGUUGUGAGACCUUAGGACAGUCAUUUCACUUUGCUGCUUUUAAGUUUCCUUGUUUAUAAAACAAAAAUAAUUAAGCUGUUUGAAGAUUACACCCUAUCAGUUAUCUAUUGCUGCAUAGAAAGAACUACCCUAAAAUGUAGUGGCUGAAAACAGCAAUCCCUUAAUUUACUCAGUGUUGAUCCCUCGGACUGCAUUCAGCUAGUUAGAUAUUCUGAGCUAGGGAGCUUUUUUGCUGGUUUCAUCUGGGGUCACUCGUGUGGUGAUAGUUUCUAGGCUGGCUGAGAGUCGAUGGAUCUAGGACGCCAUGCCGGAAUCCUCAUCUCUGCUCCUUCAUUUCCAGUAAAACAGCUCAGGCGUCUUCACUUGUCGUUCUCCCGCAGUGAGAGAGGGCAAGCCCAAUGCUGGAGCACCGUGCCAUGUCUCCUAAUGUCCCAUUGGUCAAAGCAAGUCACAUGGCCACAACGUCAGUGUGGGAGGGGUCUACACAAGAGGUUGGAAAGAGGAAAGCCUCACCCAGUGGGAGCCACUGUUGUUACCACAGGCACAACGGGUAACUCAAUCACCAUAUAUGAAGAAUUAUAUUGUAAAUUUUAAAAUAACAAGUGAGGGGCUCCUGGCUGGCUCAGUUGGUGGAGUAUGCGAGUCUUGAUAUCAGGGUCAUGAGUUCAAGUCCCAGGUUGGGUGUGGUGCCUACUUAAAAAUAAAAAUAAAAAUAAAAAUAAAAUACAACAAAGUGAGUUAUAGUCAUAAACCCUUGAAGGCAAAACAAGUGUUGUUACUCAGAGUGUAUUUGAAACCACAAGAUACAUGGGGAGAGAGAUAUGUGAACUCAAAAUGAGGUUUAUCCACGUAUCAAUAUUUUUGUUAUUUCAGAAAUGUCCGCCCCAGACGAAGGAGAUGUGAACGGUCCCACCCAGAACCCAACUUCAUCUUGACCCCUAUUCUGGGAGGUCUCCUGCUCCCUAUCUCUUCAUUUCUUCUCAUUGGACCCGGAAUCGAUUGCCUCCAUACACAGUUGGUAAAUUUUAAUUCUACACGCAUUUGUUUGUUGUCCUUCUCCCCCUGGAGGGUAUAUAGAAAGCUCCAUGAUGACGGGACCCAUGUGUGUUUCAUUCCCCAGCUUAUACCCAGCAUGCAGCACUGGAGCUGGCACAUAACAGGAGCCUGGUAAAUAUUUGCAGAGAAGUGAAUGAAAUGAAAAGCUACACUUACACAACAAGUACCUCCUGAUGUUGUUUCCUGGUGACAGGCAGCUUCUGUUCUGAGAAUACAAUGGACUUUGUCUCUUAUGGAUGAUUUAUUCUGUCAAUAAUUUGCCAGGGGAGGGCAGUAGCUCCUUGCUUCCAACUCUUGGUCUCCACAUUCCUCUUCUGUAAAUCAAUCCUUCCCCGAACUGUAGCGGAACCAAAUCCCAUGGAUUCUACCUGAGCUCUGCCUCUGGACCCCCACCCUUCCUUCUGCCGCGGCCUUUCGGGGUCUUUGUCACUUCUCGCCCGGAUUCCCACCCUAGAUUCCUAAUUGGGUUCCUUGGCAACAGUCUUGCCCAAUCCUGCCUCACCUCCCCCUCAGCUGCCAGAGAUGUCAUCAUCAAAAUAUUUGAAAAACGAAUUCUAGGGUUAAAGACCUCCCCUGCUCUCUCGAACCUAGAGAUAGGAUCAAGUGCAAACAUUUCGGCAUGAGGUUCAAUAAGCCUUCCAAUCUGCCCUGGGGUCCUUCUCCUAGCUCCUCUCCCAUAGGCCCCCCUUUCCCACCAUGCAGCCCCUGCCCAGCCACAGUACUGAAUGAAUGUGACUCCCCAGCUGCAAAGCCGUGACGUGAUGCGGGCCAUCUUCUUUGCCUGGCCUGCCUUGUCUCCCCUGCGGCAGCCAACAGUCUCCCUCCUGACUCGUUCUUGGGAAGCCUGCUCAGUCUCUGUUGUUCCUAUCUCUAUUAAAAUCUUCAUUUUAAUGUGUCUUAAGUCUGCAGUCGCAGCUGCUGCUCCUGCUGUUUUUCAGCGAGGAAGGCGCAUUGUUGGAAGACACGAAGGAAGGGAGGAGGAAAGGAAAAAAUUGGAAGGGAAAGAAAUUGUCCCAUAGCUAGCACCCCAUCCCCGACUUACUUCCUCCUGCCCGCUAUUCCACUAAGUUACUCUGAAAGGCCUUUUGUGAGAAUGAUCUGUUGCGUUUUCCUGCCUGACGUCUCUUCCCUCUUCUUCCCUAUGGGAAAAGCUGCCCUGUCUGGUUUGAGUGGCUUGGGUCAUAGCCACAUCCUUGGACCUCAUGCAUGGGAGAAUUGGGCUCAUGACCCAAAUGAUACCAUUCAAAAUCUUCCUUAAGGCUUUUUUUUUGCCAAAGAAACAUCCUCUCCUUCCUCUGAGGAUGCUAAGCUGGUAUGUGCUUCCAUUGAUCAUUAUGAUCUCCAGUAGAGAAAGCCUGUUUAAGAGAUCAGGAAUCCUGGGGCGCCUGGGUGGCUCAGUUGGUUAAGCGUCCGACUUCGGCUUAGGUCAUGAUCUCGCGGUUUGUGGGUUCGAGCCCCGUGCCGGGCUCUGUGCUGACAGCUCAGAGCCCGGAGCCUGUUCUGGAUUCUGUCUCCCUUUCUCUCUGCCCCUCCCCUGCUCACACUCUGUCUCUGUCUCUCUCAAAAAUAAACAUUAAAAAAAAAACUAAGAGAUCAGGAGUCCUGAUGACAUCAUUUGAGCUCCUGUAUCAA
rnacentral:lncRNA from 1 species